rnacentral:rRNA from 11 species
AGUGGAAGCCAAAAUGCCCUGAAGGUAUAAGAUCACAACUGAUUUUGGAAGCUAAGCAGGAUCGGUUCUGGUUGAUACUUAAAAGGGUGACUUUAAAGGAAUGUCAGGAGCUUUAUUU